rnacentral:rRNA from 1 species
ACCGUGCAAAGGUAGCAUAAUCACUUGCCUAUUAAUUGUAGGCUAGAAUGAAGGGACAAACGAGAAUACACCUGUCUCCUUUAAGCCCUUAAAAAUUUAUCUUUAAGUGAAGAAGCUUAAAUUCAUAUGCAGGACAAGAAGACCCUAUAGAGCUUUACCUAAAAUCUACAUAAAUAGUAGCUAGCGGUUCGGUUGGGGCGACCGGGGGACAUUCAUCACCCCCCAAACUAAAAAAUAUACCUAUCCCACCAAAGAUCCUUACUCAAGAUCAAAGAAUCAAGCUACCUUAGGGAUAACAGGCUAAUCCUCUUAGAGAGCCCUUAUCGACAAGAGGGGUU